rnacentral:rRNA from 1 species
UACGUAGGGUGCGAGCGUUGUCCGGAAUUACUGGGCGUAAAGAGCUCGUAGGUGGUUUGUCGCGUUGUUCGUGAAAACCGGGGGCUUAACCCUCGGCGUGCGGGCGAUACGGGCAGACUUGAGUACUGCAGGGGAGACUGGAAUUCCCGGUGUAGCGGUGAAAUGCGCAGAUAUCAGGAGGAACACCAAUGGCGAAGGCAGCUCGCUGGGACGGUACUGACGCUGAGGUGCGAAAGCGUGGGGAGCAAACAGG